AAUAGGUUAUACAUGUAGUCAAAAUUAAGCAAGUUUGUGCCUUAGUUUAUGAAGAAAGAUUAAACAGGAACUACCACUUUCAACAGGAUGUCCAUUAUAUGGGACAUGUAUUGUAUCAUUACAAAUAUGUGCUUUUUUCACGCUUUUAGAUAUAAUAAAAGGGCUAAGAGGAAAUGUUAACUGCAACAAAAAAUGCAAAACUUUGCAGAUGUUUGAAUACUUCUGAUUAGCAGGAAAUUUUAUAAGAACUGCCUUAAAGGUAGCUCAGCCACUCUGGACAAAGUAAUAAACUAAGUGACACAGUGGCUUUGUUAUCUUUGUAGAUCAACAAUUUUACUGGGUUUUGUUCUUGUUGUUGUUAUUUGAGGAGGGUGGGAAUCAAUUGUAUUUCCUCAGGAACAAUGAAAAGGAAAAGAAAAAUGGGACACUGCUUCUACCCAGCUUGCCCUAUGAAUAUGAAAAGGAUAAAUAAAGCAUGCAUUUCAAAGAAUGCAAAUUCAUUGUGAUCUAAGCAGCUUUGCAGGAGGUGGCUCUGGAGGUGCAUGACUGUGUGCAGCAGAGAUGAACUGUCCUCAGGCUGCUCUCUCUUCUAACUCUUCUCAAGCAUUCCAAUGCCAGGCAUGAAUCUGCCUUAGUCUUCAGAGGCAAGAGCACUUACAAGCCUACAUCUGGCUGUUCCCUGGCAUUGCUGCUUGGAACUUCAGAAUUUCCUGUCCCACACAAUGGCUCACACCCUGGCUUCUCUGCACAAAAACAUCUUUCCUUCUGCUGCAAUCCACAGCUGCAAAAACCCAUACAUAAAUCAUUACUGUCAAAAUCUGAAUUAAAUGGACCUUCAUGAACAAAAAUAAAGAAGCUCACAUAAACCCA
rnacentral:lncRNA from 1 species